GAACGCUGGCGGCGUGCCUAAUACAUGCAAGUCGAGCGAAUCUUGAGGUGCUUGCACCUCUUGGAUUAGCGGCGGACGGGUGAGUAACACGUGGGCAACCUGCCUGUAAGACUGGGAUAACUUCGGGAAACCGGAGCUAAUACCGGAUAAUCCUUUUCCUCUCAUGAGGAAAAGCUGAAAGUCGGUUUACGCUGACACUUACAGAUGGGCCCGCGGCGCAUUAGCUAGUUGGUGAGGUAACGGCUCACCAAGGCGACGAUGCGUAGCCGACCUGAGAGGGUGAUCGGCCACACUGGGACUGAGACACGGCCCAGACUCCUACGGGAGGCAGCAGUAGGGAAUCUUCCGCAAUGGACGAAAGUCUGACGGAGCAACGCCGCGUGAGCGAUGAAGGCCUUCGGGUCGUAAAGCUCUGUUGUUAGGGAAGAACAAGUACCGGAGUAACUGCCGGUACCUUGACGGUACCUAACCAAAAGCCACGGCUAACUACGUGCCAGCAGCCGCGGUAAUAC
rnacentral:rRNA from 1 species